UACGUAGGAUGCUAGCGUUGUCCGGAUUUACUGGGCGUAAAGCGCGCGCAGGCGGCACUGUAAGUCAGGUGUGAAAUAUCCCUGCUCAACGGGGAGGGUGCACUUUAGACUGCAGAGCUAGAGGACGGUAGAGGGGGGUGGUAUUGCUGGUGUAGCGGUGAAAUGCGUAGAGAUCGGAAAGAACACCAACGGCGAAAGCACUCUGCUGGGCCGACACUGACACUGAGAGACGAAAGCUAGGGGAGCGAAUGGG
rnacentral:rRNA from 1 species